GUCACUAUCAUAUGACAAAGGCUUUGCCACAGUUCAUUGUCCUCCCUGUGUACUUUCCAUUUGCCUUCCUGGGUUAAAUGAAUGGAGUAGAAUUUCUAACAAAUUGAAUAGUAUCUAAAGUAUAUUUAUUGUUAAUGGAGAAAAGCUCCAAACUUGGAGGGUACCAUUCAUGUAUAUAUUUCUGCCAAAAUGACUGUAUGUAAUCUGAAAAGAAAUGAGUUAACAGCUUCACAGCCUUCUACAAAGUAUUUUAAUACUUGUAGAAUGUAACUUUCAAAGAACCAAUAUUUGAGUUUAUCUUUCCUUACCAAAUAAACUGUAG